rnacentral:tRNA from 7 species
GCUGAGGUAGGCCAACGGCGAGCCGCUUGUCUUAGGAACAAGUGCUUGCGGGUUCGACUCCCGCCCUCAGUAC